rnacentral:rRNA from 1 species
AUGAACGCUAGCGGCAGGCCUAAUACAUGCAAGUCGAACGGGGUAGCAAUACCCAGUGGCGCACGGGUGCGUAACGCGUAUGCAACCUACCUUCAACUGGGGGAUAGCCCGGAGAAAUCCGGAUUAAUACCGCAUAACACAACUUGAUGGCAUCUGAGGGUUGUUAAAGAUUUAUCGGUUGGAGAUGGGCAUGCGUGCCAUUAGCUAGUUGGUGGUGUAACGGACCACCAAGGCGACGAUGGCUAGGGGGUCUGAGAGGAUGGUCCCCCACACUGGCACUGAGAUACGGGCCAGACUCCUACGGGAGGCAGCAGUAGGGAAUAUUGGGCAAUGGGCGGAAGCCUGACCCAGCCAUGCCGCGUGCAGGAUGAAGGCCUUCUGGGUUGUAAACUGCUUUUACCAGGGAAGAAAACACCCAUGCGUGGGGAACUGACGGUACCUGAGGAAUAAGCACCGGCUAACUCCGU